CAACUACUCAGGGAUCUGAAGGUCUCGGCUAGGAUAGUCGGGACAGGGUUGAUUCCUUGUUUUAACCUUUCAAAGAAAUCGACUACUGCAACUUCAAGAUGUCCGAGAACUUUCGGGAAAAUGAUCAAACCGUAAAUGGCCAAAGCGAAUAGAUUUAUCCUUUUCAACAUGUCGGGAUGGUUCAGAACCAAAUGUCGUAGGGCAGACCAUGGAAUACAAAUGGUUUCAUUCUUCUU
rnacentral:lncRNA from 1 species